UUGAACGCUGGCGGCAUGCCUUACACAUGCAAGUCGAACGGUAACAGGUCUUCGGAUGCUGACGAGUGGCGAACGGGUGAGUAAUACAUCGGAACGUGCCCAGACGUGGGGGAUAACGAGGCGAAAGCUUUGCUAAUACCGCAUACGAUCUAAGGAUGAAAGCAGGGGACCGCAAGGCCUUGUGCGUUUGGAGCGGCCGAUGGCAGAUUAGGUAGUUGGUGGGAUAAAAGCUUACCAAGCCGACGAUCUGUAGCUGGUCUGAGAGGACGACCAGCCACACUGGGACUGAGACACGGCCCAGACUCCUACGGGAGGCAGCAGUGGGGAAUUUUGGACAAUGGGCGAAAGCCUGAUCCAGCAAUGCCGCGUGCAGGAUGAAGGCCUUCGGGUUGUAAACUGCUUUUGUACGAAACGAAAAGGCUCUGGCUAAUACCUGGGGCACAUGACGGUACCGUAAGAAUAAGCACCGGCUAACUACGUG
rnacentral:rRNA from 1 species